AAUGAACGUUGGCGGCGUGGAUUAGGCAUACAAGUCGUGCGGAAAGGCCCCGCAAGGGGUACUCGAGCGGCGAAAGGGAUAGUAAUGCGUAGGUCACCUACCCCUGGGACCCGGAUAGCUGCGGGAAACUGCAAUUAAUACGGGAUGACGUCUUCGGACCAAAGGUGUGAUUCCGCCCGGGGAUGGGUCUGCGUCCUAUUAGCUUGUUGGUGAGGUAACGGCUCACCAAGGCGACGAUGGGUAGCGGGUGUGAGAGCACGACCCGCAUCACUGGGACUGAGACACUGCCCAGACACCUACGGGUGGCUGCAGUCGAGGAUCUUCGGCAAUGGGCGAAAGCCUGACCGAGCGACGCCGCGUGUGGGAUGAAGGCCCUCGGGUUGUAAACCACUGUCGGAGGGGAGGAAAUGCUGGGGGGAUCACCCCUCAGCUUGACCUAUCCUCGAAGGAAGGACGGGCUAAGUUCGUGCCAGCAGCCGCUGUAACAC
rnacentral:rRNA from 1 species